rnacentral:rRNA from 1 species
UACGGAGGGUGCAAGCGUUAUCCGGAUUCACUGGGUUUAAAGGGUGCGUAGGUGGGUUGGUAAGUCAGUGGUGAAAUCUUCGAGCUUAACUCGGAAACUGCCAUUGAUACUAUCAAUCUUGAAUUAUCUGGAGGUAAGCGGAAUAUGUCAUGUAGCGGUGAAAUGCUUAGAUAUGACAUAGAACACCCAUUGCGAAGGCAGCUUACUACGGAUAUAUUGACACUGAGGCACGAAAGCGUGGGGAUCAAACAGG